AGAACGAACGCUGGCGGCAGGCUUAACACAUGCAAGUCGAGCGCUGUAGCAAUACAGAGCGGCAGACGGGUGAGUAACGCGUGGGAACAUACCCUCCGGUUCGGAAUAACUCAGGGAAACUUGAGCUAAUACCGAAUACGGUCGAGAGGCGAAAGAUUUAUCGCCGGAGGAUUGGCCCGCGUUCGAUUAGCUAGUUGGUGAGGUAACGGCUCACCAAGGCGACGAUCGAUAGCUGGUCUGAGAGGAUGAUCAGCCACAUUGGGACUGAGACACGGCCCAAACUCCUACGGGAGGCAGCAGUGGGGAAUAUUGGACAAUGGGCGAAAGCCUGAUCCAGCCAUGCCGCGUGAGUGAUGACGGCCUUAGGGUUGUAAAGCUCUUUCGCUAGGGACGAUAACCUGACGGUACCUAGACAAGAAGCCCGGCUAACUUCGUGCCAGCAGCCGC
rnacentral:rRNA from 1 species